ensembl:lncRNA
AUUGGUUACUUGUAGACGCCAUCUUGACUACCGGUCGUUGAUUGGUUACUUGUAGACGCCAUCUUGACUACCGGUCGUUGAUUGGUUACUUGUAGACGCCAUCUUGACUACCGGUCGUUGAUUGGUUACUUGUAGACGACUUCCUGCCUUUGCCAACCACCAGAGAAGUUUCCAGAACCGCUAGUAUUAAAACAUGUUUAUUUGGAUUAAAAAGCCUGUAUGGAACAUCCAGUUAUACAGUAUGUAACGACACAAAGCAGGUAAACGCAGAGAGAAAGAAAACCAACCUCCACUUAAGUCACAUUUGACUUGACACCCCCAUUAGAAAGUGACCACUAGGUUACCUUAUGAAAUUCAGGAUCAGGUAAAGUACCAGGUUAAAAACAAAAGAAAUACAACAUCACUGGGAUGGUUUAACAGACCUUCAGAAAAUGGCAAUUGAACUGCACCCCCAUUGGGUACACUCAAGGCACGGCACCACCCGUCACAUACCCGAAUGUGGAUGACCAUUCUAGUAAUUCUAUUUCUACGGUUGAAAAGCACUGUGCUGUAAGGCUGGCUUGCUGCUGACAUUCUGAUACUGGGAUAGAUUCAACAGGAUUCAGCAAACGGUUUCACAUGUAGAAUUACAACGGCUGCCAUUUUGGCACCAAAGUAAAGUACUGAGAUGUAAUAUGGAGGGUAGUUUGGUGUCUAUGGAGGGUAGUUUGGUGUCUAUGGAGGGUAGUUUGGUGUCAAUAUGGAGGGUAGUUUGGUGUCAAUAUGGAGGGUAGUUUGGUGUCAAUAUGGAGGGUAGUUUGGUGUCUAUGGAGGGUAGUUUGGUGUCAAUAUGGAGGGUAGUUUGGUGUCUAUGGAGGGAUAGUUUGGUGUCUAUGGAGGAUAGUUUGUGUCAAUAUGGAGGGUAGUUUGGUGUCUAUGGAGGGUAGUUUGGUGUCUAUGGAGGGUAGUUUGGUGUCAAUAUGGAGGGUAGUUUGGUGUCUAUGGAGGGUAGUUUGGUGUCUAUGGAUGGUAGUUUGGUGUCAAUGGAGGAUAGUUUGGUGUCAAUGGAGGGUAGUUUGGUGUCUAUGGAUGGUGGUUUGGUGUCUAUGGAUGGUAGUUUGAUACUGGUGUCAAUGGAGGGUAGUUUGGUGUCAAUAUGGAGGGUAGUUUGGUGUCUAUGGAGGGUAGUUUGGUGUCUAUGGAGGGUAGUUUGGUGUCUAUGGAGGGUAGUUUGGUGUCUAUGGAGGGUAGUUUGGUGUCUAUGGAGGAUAGUUUGGUGUCAAUAUGGAGGGUAGUUUGGUGUCAAUAUGGAGGGUAGUUUGGUGUCAAUAUGGAGGAUAGUUUGGUGUCAAUAUGGAGGGUAGUUUGGUGUCAAUAUGGAGGGUAGUUUGGUGUCUAUGGAGGGUAGUUUGGUGUCUAUGGAGGGCAGUUUGGUGUCACUAUGGAGGACAGUGUGGUGUCAUUAUGGAGGGCAGUGUGGUGUCAAUAUGGAGGACAAUUUGGUGUCAAUGUGGAGGGUAGUUUGUCACUGUGGAUGGUAGUUUGGUGUCUGGAGGACAGUGUGGUGUCAAUAUGGAGGACAAUUUGGUGUCAAUGUGGAGGGUAGUUUGGUGUCAAUAUGGAUGGUAGUUUGGUGUCAAUAUGGAUGGUCGUUUGGUGUCAAUAUAGAGGGUAGUUUGUCACUGGAUGGUAGUUUGGUGUCUGGAAGGUAGUGUGGUGUCAAUGUGGAGAGUAGUGUGGUGUCAAUGUGGAGAGUAGUGUGGUGUCAAUGUGGAGGGUAGUGUGGUGUCAAUGUGGAGGGUAGUGUGGUGUCAAUGCGGAGGGUAGUGUGGUGUCAAUGCGGAGGGUAGUGUGGUGUCAAUGCGGAGGGUAGUGUGGUGUCAAUGCGGAGGGUAGUUUGGUGUCAAUACGGAGGGUAGUGUGGUGUCAAUGCGGAGGGUAGUUUGGUGUCAAUGCGGAGGGUAGUUUGGUGUCAAUACGGAGGGUAGUGUGGUGUCAAUACGGAGGGUAGUGUGGUGUCAAUGCGGAGGGUAGUGUGGUGUCAAUACGGAGGGUAGUUUGGUGUCAAUGCGGAGGGUAGUGUGGUGUCAAUGUGGAGGGUAGUGUGGUGUCAAUGUGGAGGGUAGUGUGGUGUCAAUGUGGAGGGUAGUUUGGUGUCAAUGUGGAGGGUAGUUUGGUGUCAUUGUGGAGGACAGUGUGGUGUCAAUAUGGAGGGUAGUUUGGUGUCAAUGUGGAGGGUAGUUUGCCAAACUGUUUUCGAUCUAUUCCUUAUCAUACUGAGAUGUAAACAGAAUGCUCAUCAACCACAUCAGUACUACAACACAUACUCAUUCAUUCGCUUAACAAACACUUUCUCAGUCCCUGUACCUCACACACCCACACAGACCUGCUAUAUACACAGUGGACAAAACAUUAGGAACACCUUCCUAACAUUCAAUUGCACCCCCCUCUUGCCCUCAGAAUGGCCUCAAUUCGUCAGGUUAUGGACUCUACGGAAAGCGUUCCACAGUGAUGCUGGCCCAUGUUGACUCCAAUGCUUCCCACAGUUGUGUGAAGUUGGUUGGACCUCCUUUGCUUGGUGGACCAUUCUUAAUACAAACAGGAAACGGUUGAGCGUGAAAAAGCAGCGUUGGAAGUUCUUGACACAAACCGGUGCGCCUGGCACCUACUACCAUACUGUUCAAAGGCAAUUCAAUAUUUAGUCUUGUCCGUUCACCUUCUGAAUGGCACUGAUACACCAAGGCUCAAGAAUCCUUCUCUAAUCUGAAUCCUUCUUUAAUCUGAAUCCUUCUUUAAUCUGUAUCCUUCUCUUCAUCUACACUUGACUAAAGUGGAUUUCGAAUCGAUAAAAACAUCAUAGGUUUUACCUGGAUUCAGCAAUGCUUUUUAUACUCGGUGUAUAUUCACUCCACAUGCUGUUCUGUUACAGAUGGAAUUUAAAAUGGAUUCAAUUGAGAUUUUGUCACUGGACUACACACAAUACCCCAUAAUGUCAAAGUGGAAAUAUGUUGUUUUUUUUAGAAAUGUUUACAAAUGAAUAAAAAAUGAAAAGCUGAAAUGUCUUGAGUCAAUAAGUUUUCAACCCCUUUGUUAUGGGAAGUCUAAAUAAGUUCAGGAGUAAACGUGUGCUUAACAAGUCACAUAAUAAGUUGCAUGGACUCACUCUGUGUUCAAUAAUAGUGUUUAACGUGAUUUUUGAAUGACUACCUCAUCUCUGUACCCCACAUACACAAUUAUCUGUAAGGUCUCUCAGUUGAGCAGUGAAUUUCAAACACAGAUUCAACCACAAAGACCAGGGAGGUUUUCCACAGCCUCGCAAAGAAGGGCCAGAGGGAAAAGAAGGACGCAUGUACAGAAUACAAAUAUUCCAAACCAAGGCACUUAAGUAAAACGGCAAAAAAUGUGUCAAAGACAUGAACUUUUUGUCCUGAAUACAAAGCAUUAUGUUUGGGGAAAUACAACACAUUACAGAGUACCACUCUUCAUAUUUUGAAGCAUGGUGGUGGCUGCAUCAUGUUAUGGGUAUGCUUGAAAUCCUUUAGGACUAGGUAGUUUUUCAGGAUAAAAAAGAAAUGGAAUUGAGCUAAACACAGGCAAAAUCCUAGAGGAAAACCUGGUUCAGUCUGCUUUCCAACAGACACUGGGAGAUGAAAUCACCUUUCAGCAGGACAAUAACCUAAAACAUAAGGCCAUUUACACACUGGAGUUGCUUACCAAGACGUCAUGGAAUGUUCCUGAAUGGCCUAGUUACAGUUUUGAUUGAAUCCUGUUCUUGAUAUAGAUUUUCAAAUAAAUUUGUCUAGCAAUGAUCAACAACCAAUUUGACUGAGCUUAAAGAAUUUUGAAAAUUAUAAAUGGGCAAAUGUUACACAAUCCACAUGUGGAAAGCUCUUAGAGAUUUACCCAGAAAGACUCAUAGCUCUUAGAGAUUUACCCAGAAAGACUCACUGUCAGUGGUGCUUCUACAAAGUAUUGACUCAGGGGUGUAAAUACUUAUGUAAAUUAGAUAUUUCUGCAUUUCAUUUUCAAUAAAUUUGCAAACAUUUCUAAGAACAUGUUUUCACUUCGUCAUUAUGGGCUAUUGUAUGUAGAUCUGUGAGAAAAAGAAACUAUUUAAUCAAUUUUGAAUUCAGGCUGUAAAACAAAAUAUGGAAUAAGUCAAGGGGUAUGAAUAUUUUCUGAAGGCACAUAUUCAAAGAUACACUACAUUAUUCAAAGUAUG